rnacentral:rRNA from 1 species
UACGAAGGGGCUAGCGUUGCUCGGAAUCACUGGGCGUAAAGGGUGCGUAGGCGAGUCUUUAAGUCAGGGUGAAAUCCUGGAGCUCAACUCCAGAACUGCCUUUGAUACUGAAGAUCUUGAGUUCGGGAGAGGUGAGUGGAACUGCGAGUGUAGAGGUGAAAUUCGUAGAUAUUCGCAAGAACACCAGUGGCGAAGGCGGCUCACUGGCCCGAUACUGACGCUGAGGCACGAAAGCGCUGG